rfam:Halopiger xanaduensis SH-6, complete genome.
GCCGAAGUAGCUCAGAUGGUAGAGCACCUCGCUGUUACGGCGAUUCAGGUCUUGCCUGUUCGCCGCAGAUACGAGGUUGUCCCAGGUUCGAGUCCUGGCUUCGGCG